AGCAGCCGCGGUAAUUCCAGCUCCAAUAGCGUAUAUUAAAGUUGUUGCAGUUAAAAAGCUCGUAGUUGAAUUUCGGGAUCAGUUGGUCGGUCGUGCCUCGGUACGUACUGGUCAAAUUGAUUCCUACCUUCUGACGAACCACGAUGUCAUUAAUUUGGUGUCGUGGGGAAUCAGGACUGUUACUUUGAAAAAAUUAGAGUGUUUAAAGCAGGCUCGCGCUUGAAUACAUUAGCAUGGAAUAAUGAAAUAGGACGUUUGAUUCUAUUUUGUUGGUUUCUAGGAUCGACGUAAUGAUUAAUAGGGAUAGUUGGGGGCAUUAGUAUUCAAUUGUCAGAGGUGAAAUUCUUGGAUUUAUUGAAGACUAACUACUGCGAAAGCAAUUUGCCAAGGAUGUUUUCAUUAAUCAAGAACGAAAGUUAGGGGAUCGAAGACGAUCAGAUACCGUCGUAGUCUUAACCAUAAACUAUGCCGACUAGGGAUCGGAUGAUGUUAAUUUUUA
rnacentral:rRNA from 1 species